rnacentral:lncRNA from 1 species
UUGUCAACAAGAUGAGGCUCGUGGCGCUCUGAAAUGAUACUAGGUAAUGUUAUACCCUAUGUAGAAAAUAAUUCAACCAGGGGAUGUUGUACCCUGUGUUGACAGAAAAUAAUGCAAUCAGGGGAAGGUGUACCCUGUGUUGACAGAAAAUAAUGCAAUCAGGGGAUGGUGUACCCCGUGGGGAAUGAUAUACCCUAUGUAGAAAAUAAUUCAACCAGGGGAUGUUGUACCCUGUGUUGACAGAAAAUAAUGCAACCAGGGGAAGGUGUACCAUGUGUUGACAGAAAAUAAUGCAACCAAGGGAAGGUGUACCAUGUGUUGACAGAAAAUAAUGCAACCAGGGGAUGGUUUACCCAGUGUUGACAGAAAAUAAUGCAUCCAGGGGAUGAUGUACCCUGUGUUGACAGAAAAUAAUACAACCAGGGGAUGGUGUACCCUGUGUUGAAAACAAGAUGAGGUUCGUGGCACUCUGAAAUGCUACUAGGGAAUGUUGUACCCUAUGUAGAAAAUAAUUCAACCAGGGGGAUGAUGUACCCUAUUUUGACAACUAGAUGAGGCUCGUGGCACUCUAAAAUGCUACUAGGCAAUGUUGUACCCUAGGUAGAAAAUAAUUCAACCAGGGCAUGUUGUACCCUGUGUUGGCAAUAAAAUGAUGCAACCGGAGGAUGUUGUACCAUGUGUUGAAGAUGGGGUGUUGGUUUCCUAUAAUAAAACUAAAAAUAACUUGCUUACAUGUAUAUUGGAAGAAAAUCAUGGAUUUGAGAACUCUAUUUGGUGGUGUUAGUCUUUCCAUGAACUGUUUCACUAAACUAUUCUUUUCCUGUUCUAAACAAAGAAAGAUUCGUUAGUUCUAAAAUGGUGGUGAGUUUGUGGCCUUGAUUUCUUGGUCGACUUGACCUUGAGUCCAUUACACUUGUUAGGAGAUCCAUCCUGUCGAUGAUCGUACAAAUGGUCGAGAGAUUCUGACUUUCUCUCUGAAGAUCUUCUUUCUCAACAUCAACACAUGACUAUUUUGCGCCUAUCCUUUGUGUCUAUGGUGCAAAUAACUUUGUUCCCCAAAACAACUUUUGAUGAGGACCCUUGAAACAUUGCCAAGCCUUUGUUUGACAAGGAAUAUCAAAGUCGGCUUUAUGGCUUUUCCCAUACUAUUUAUGCCUAGAAACUUUUGCUUCAUGUAACGGGGAAACUGUAACCAAUUUUGUGGCCUUUUCUUUGCUUUGCUUUGACAAAAUUAAACUGAAAGGGACUUGAGAAUAAUAAUACGAAAG